CCAGGGAGGUCCUCACGCGGCUUCCCUCUUCCCUCGCACGCUCUCUCCUCCCUCACAUCUCAUCGCCAUGGCUUGCCGCCGCCAUUCUCCUUGGAGGGCCUCGCGCAACUGCAUCGAGUGAUCACCUCUGGUUGGACGCUCCCACCGGUGGACAUCGCCGAGAUCGGAAGCGCCGCCAUGGAGCUCGGCGGCGCCGCCGCUCUUCCGUGUUGCGGCCCACGAUCUGAAGCGCCGGCCUCCGCAGCCGAGUCCAUGAAGCUCGGUGGAGCCAUCGCAUCUCUCGGUCUCCUCUGCUUUAGUACGUUGCAGCGGUUUGAGGCAAGAGGAGGGCCGGCGACCGGAAUAGGAGCAGUACCCCAGAACUCCAAGCGGCCAGAGAUUCGCCUCUCAUAAUCACUCAUGUUAAGGAACAAGAUGAUAUCAAAACAUUCUUGGAAAGCAACACAAAAGUAAAUCCUGACCAGCGGAGUGACCUGAACUCUCAUACCAGCAAACUGGAUGAGAUAUCCUCCACACUUCCGGUUUUCAAGCAAGUGCAAACAGAUUUGAGGCAACUGAAGGUUUAGAUCUUCAGAAUCUUUACAAACAAGAUGGAGUAAAAUUAUCGAGCUUGUUGAUGGAAAACCAACUCCACUGAAGUCUCCCGAAGUAUGUGUCGAUGUAUACACACGCUUGAUUUAUGUUUUAACAUUUGGCUGCUGAAAAAGAAGUUCCUUACUUAAAUUGUUGUUUUAGUGAAGUUCCUUUUAGUCUUCCUUUUCAAUUGACGUAGCCCCAUGAAUCAAAAUGAAAUUUGCAGGGAAUGUGAUGUUUGUACCAUGUAUUCACAGCUUGGCGAGGGACUUCUUUAGGUGGUGCACAUUAUUCAUUAGCUAUUCUAUUGUUAAGAUUGGUACAAGGGACUUCUUUAGGUGAUGCAGUGUGCAGUGCAAGAAGAAAAGAGACUGCACACAAUAACAAGCUAUGGUAUCUCUUUAAAUAGUGCACACUUUAGUUGCUUGGUGAGGGGGUAUUGAGACAUUGUGGGGUAGUAUGAUAUUAGUGGUUUGGUUUUCGCAAAAAAAAAGUAUGAUAUUAGUGGUUUGGAACCUGAAACCAAUGUGAAUUUUUGUAUAACUUGACAUCAACUUCUACAUUUUAAAAACUUGUAACUACUUUUACAUAAUCCGGGCGGUUUAGAGUUAUGCAAUACUUUCUGGUUUCUGAAUGUGUUCCUCUAUCGUUGUAACUUGCAAGUUACUUUAGGGGUACCGAAGACCCUGCACUUUGCGAGAUUGUAGCGAAUUCAUAGGCAUAAUAGUAUGGUGUGCAACUUGGGGGAUUAGUUGGAGCCAAUGACACUUGAUAUAGAGGAGAUUGAUAAUCAACAAGUUUUUGAGACACAAUGAAGUAUUGUCGGAGUAUAAGGGCAUUUUCAUGAUGCAUCUAUGAUAUAAAUUAGGUAACUUUUGGUGGCAAUGUACACACACUCAAUUUUAUACUUCCUCUAUUCCUAAAAGAGCUUAUCAACUUUGUCUAGAUACGGAGGUAUAGAGUCUAGAUAUGGAGGUAUAAAGAUAUUUUUAGUUAUGCAUACAUCUGUAUCUAGAAAAAGUUGAGCAAUUUCUUUUUGAGACGGAGGGAGUACCAGAUGUUGACAAGUGCUGCGAGAAUAGAAUCAAACACGCCUGCGGGUGUCGUGACCCUCUUGAGGGCUUCGUUGUGGCUAUCCUCUCCAUAUUAGGCCUCCGGGUGAAAACCCUAGACCUUGGUGGUCUUGGCAAUGGCAGCGCAUUUGACAUCGUUACCUCCUUGCGAGUGUUGUUGAGGAGUCGAGGUCUCUCUCGUAUCUCGGCGUCUUUGAUGGCAAGCUCGGUGCUUCUUAGUUUUUCUUUUUUUAUCUCUGAUAAGUUUGUAAGAGGAAUUCCUCAUCGCUUUGUAUUGGUUUGGCCGUUUGGUUUUAUUUAUAAAGUGGGGCGAAAGCCUAUUUUGAGGAACAAUGACCAUCCACUUCAAAACAUUCAAUCGUUGUGUUCAAAUAAAAAAAAGUUUGUCUUUUCAAAUAUUUGGAUAUAAUCUCGUGUCUUCACAAGGAACUUAAUUUUGAUUGUGUCUCUUGUUGAUUCCAGGUUGGUGACGUCCUCAGAUUCUUCCGUGUGGUGUUUUUUGGGAUCCAUGUCUAGAACGGAGGAAACAUCUAGCAGUCAGACAAGAAGAAGUUCAUGGCUUUUCUUACCUUCGAUGUUCAUAAGUGUACCUGCAGUCUCCCAUAUUCAUUGAACUGCUCUUAUCAUCUUAACCGAUAUGGGAACCGUCCCACUGACCAUCUAUCAUUCAGGUCCUUAUCAUCGAGAUAGCUUUGCCCCUUGAGAAAAUGGGAUGAACGGGCUCCCUGUUGGAUGUUCUAUGUGGAAACCUAUCCUGAUCUUGAAGUGAAAAUGCCUUGGGAGUCUACAUGGGGCACUACAAUGAAGACUACCAGUGGCGAAGAAUCUUCUGAGGUAUGAAAUGGCAUUUGUCAUCAUUCAUAUAAUUGUUCAUGUAGUUAAAACUAAAUAAAAUAUUUUGAUCAGCUAACGUGAGCUCGGUUUCGAUUUACAUCCCGCAAAUUUCAGAAUUUCGUAGGAUACAUAUUUGGAAUAUGAUGCUUUUCUAAGAAGUCAUACUAUAUUUUAUAAUAUGAUGCUAACUCUUUGUGGAAUGUGUACUUGAUUUGGUGGUAUAGAGAUGGUAUAGAGUAGGUUGCUUGGCUAACAAAGAGUUUAGCAUAUAAAAAUCUUAGUGCUUAGAAUAAAGUGCUUUAUUGGAAGUCUGUAAGCAUAUUUGGUACUAAUUAAUGGCAGUUGCAGAAGUGUUACAUAAUGAUAUAGUGCAAUUCAUUUUCAUAUAGAUCCUGGGCUUAUGUACUUGCUAAAUUGUGUGGAGCUUUUUCAUGGAUGCCUCUACAUAUUCUAUGUUUGAUUGGUAAUAGCACACUUUUCUAACAGAAAUAAAGAAUUUCAAUAACUUCCAUUUUGUCUGUGAUAAAGCGCAUUAGAUUAAACUGCAGCUUUAUUACAGGUAAGGAUGCAUGUAUUUAGUUACUGUUCAGUUUCAGAUUGUCAAUGUGGAGGGAUAUGUGGUCGUCAAUGUGGAGAACUAGGGGUGCUCGCGUGGUCAUAAACUCGCCUUUCGAUACGCCAACCAGCAUUGUGACAGAUUGAGGGCCGGCCAUCCAUGCAUCAGGCAAAGCCUUGGAACACAAGCACAAUUAUCCUCAAGGAUUUUAUGUGUGCUUUUGAGACCCUUUGUUUUAUUUUCAGACUAUUGUCCACGACCAUGCUUUGUACCACUGAUGCACCCAUUCUAUCUAACUAUGUACAGGCCAUGAAAUUGGGCUGGUUCUGUUGUAUUUAAUGCUAAAGGAUUUUGGCCUAUGGGUGAUGGAACAUGGCAUUGGUCAAUUCGUGGAACAUUGCCUAUGUCCAGGGUGAAUAUUUUGUGGCCAGCACCUAAAUUGUAUGGAUUUUCCCUAUGGUUAUUCCAUCAUGAUUAUUCUUUGUACCACUCAUAAUCACAUUUUAUCUAAUUAUGUUGGUGACAUGAAA